rnacentral:rRNA from 1 species
UACGGGGGGGGCAAGCGUUGUUCGGAAUUACUGGGCGUAAAGGGCUCGUAGGCGGCCAACUAAGUCGGACGUGAAAUCCCCAGGCUCAACCUGGGAACUGCGUCUGAUACUGGAUGGCUUGAAUCCGGGAGAGGGAUGCAGAAUUCCAGGUGUAGCGGUGAAAUGCGUAGAUAUCUGGAGGAACACCGGUGGCGAAGGCGGCAUCCUGGACCGGUAUUGACGCUGAGGAGCGAAAGCCAGGGGAGCAAACGGG